CUGGACUAGAAUGUGAGGGAAUGUUGGGUAAUGCCAUCAGUCCGGGCAACCGGACCCAAAACAAGGUGCUGCAUGGCUGUCGUCAGCUCGUGUCGUGAGAUGUUGGGUUAAGUCCCGCAACGAGCGCAACCCUUAUCAACAGUUGCCAUCAUUAAGUUGGGAACUCUGUUGAGACUGCCGUUGAUAAAACGGAGGAAGGUGGGGAUGAUGUCAAGUCAUCAUGGCCUUUAUGUUCAGGGCUACACACGUGCUACAAUGGUCGGUACAAAACGUCGCAAUCCCGCGAGGGGGAGCUAAUCGCUAAAACCGAUCUCAGUUCGGAUUGAAGUCUGCAACUCGACUUCAUGAAGUUGGAAUCGCUAGUAAUCGCAAAUCAGCAUGUUGCGGUGAAUACGUUCCC
rnacentral:rRNA from 1 species